GAGGGACUAAGAGAUUUUGAGCUGCUGCACGUACCCCGGACUCUAUUUCUACAAAGAACCCUGUCCAUCUAGGGUUUUAACACCCACAGACAGCCCUUGUUCGCUCCGUUCCUUCACAACAGAGCUCCUACCUUUCCAAGUUGUAGCAGUGUUGCAGUUAAAUAAUCUCUGAAGAUGGAAGACAAUCGUGGUGGGAAAGCAGAGAAGAAGAAGAAGAGGAAGAAGAACAAGAAGAAGGAGGCGAAGGAUAAGGAGGAGGAAGAGGUAAAAAGAUUCCGGGAGGCUACAACUGCAUUUGUAGCGAUAGUUUGUGAAGAACAUGGCAUCAACCCUGAUACUCUUUUGGGAAAUAGCGAAGAAGAGAAGAAAGAAUAUAUUAAAAGGAUAAAACGUCGACUGCUUCAGAUUCAGAUUGAGACUACUGACAAACAAAGGAACCUAACUAGUAAGAAAAUGAGAACAACUCCAACUCCAACUCCAAGUCGUCCUCCACUUUGAGAUUUAGUAAUAUGUAACUAUUAAUCUUAAUCUUUUAUUGGAGCACAACUACUCAUAUUUUGAUGGGAUAAUGUAACUUUGUAGAGGAGGAGAUGGAGGAAGAGUUAUGAUUCAAUUAUAGUCUAUAUUGGCAGCAUUGCCACAUUAUUUGAUUUAUACAUUCACAGUGGCAUUGAUUUCUUCUCUCUCA